AAAUUGAAGAGUUUGAUCAUGGCUCAGAUUGAACGCUGGCGGCAGGCCUAACACAUGCAAGUCGAACGGUAACAGGAAGCAGCUUGCUGCUUUGCUGACGAGUGGCGGACGGGUGAGUAAUGUCUGGGAAACUGCCUGAUGGAGGGGGAUAACUACUGGAAACGGUGGCUAAUACCGCAUAACGUCGCAAGACCAAAGAGGGGGACCUUCGGGCCUCUUGCCAUCAGAUGUGCCCAGAUGGGAUUAGCUUGUUGGUGAGGUAACGGCUCACCAAGGCGACGAUCCCUAGCUGGUCUGAGAGGAUGACCAGCCACACUGGAAC
rnacentral:rRNA from 3 species